CAUAUACUCCCUCCGUCCAAAAAAGCGUGUCCCUCAAAUGAAAGUGUUUAGAACCAAAUUAGUACUAGAUAUAUCAAUUUGAAGGACAAGCUUGGGACAAGCUUUUUCGGGCGGAGGGAGUAUGAG
rfam:Hordeum vulgare subsp. vulgare, WGS project CAJW01000000 data, contig: morex_contig_1579284